GCGCUUAACACAUGCAAGUCGAGGGGCAGCAUGGUCUUAGCUUGCUAAGGCCGAUGGCGACCGGCGCACGGGUGAGUAACACGUAUCCAACCUGCCGUCUACUCUUGGACAGCCUUCUGAAAGGAAGAUUAAUACAAGAUGGCAUCAUGAGUCCGCAUGUUCACAUGAUUAAAGGUAUUCCGGUAGACGAUGGGGAUGCGUUCCAUUAGAUAGUAGGCGGGGUAACGGCCCACCUAGUCUUCGAUGGAUAGGGGUUCUGAGAGGAAGGUCCCCCACAUUGGAACUGAGACACGGUCCAAACUCCUACGGGAGGCAGCAGUGAGGAAUAUUGGUCAAUGGGCGAGAGCCUGAACCAGCCAAGUAGCGUGAAGGAUGACUGCCCUAUGGGUUGUAAACUUCUUUUAUAAAGGAAUAAAGUCGGGUAUGGAUACCCGUUUGCAUGUACUUUAUGAAUAAGGAUCGGCUAACUCCGUGCCAGCAGCCGCGGUAAUACGGAGGAUCCGAGCGUUAUCCGGAUUUAUUGGGUUUAAAGGGAGCGUAGAUGGAUGUUUAAGUCAGUUGUGAAAGUUUGCGGCUCAACCGUAAAAUUGCAGUUGAUACUGGAUAUCUUGAGUGCAGUUGAGGCAGGCGGAAUUCGUGGUGUAGCGGUGAAAUGCUUAGAUAUCACGAAGAACUCCGAUUGCGAAGGCAGCCUGCUAAGCUGCAACUGACAUUGAGGCUCGAAAGUGUGGGUAUCAAACAGGAUUAGAUACCCUGGUAGUCCACACGGUAAACGAUGAAUACUCGCUGUUUGCGAUAUACUGCAAGCGGCCAAGCGAAAGCGUUAAGUAUUCCACCUGGGGAGUACGCCGGCAACGGUGAAACUCAAAGGAAUUGACGGGGGCCCGCACAAGCGGAGGAACAUGUGGUUUAAUUCGAUGAUACGCGAGGAACCUUACCCGGGCUUAAAUUGCAGAUGAAUUACGGUGAAAGCCGUAAGCCGCAAGGCAUCUGUGAAGGUGCUGCAUGGUUGUCGUCAGCUCGUGCCGUGAGGUGUCGGCUUAAGUGCCAUAACGAGCGCAACCCUUGUUGUCAGUUACUAACAGGUUCCGCUGAGGACUCUGACAAGACUGCCAUCGUAAGAUGUGAGGAAGGUGGGGAUGACGUCAAAUCAGCACGGCCCUUACGUCCGGGGCUACACACGUGUUACAAUGGGGGGUACAGAGGGCCGCUACCACGCGAGUGGAUGCCAAUCCCCAAAACCUCUCUCAGUUCGGACUGGAGUCUGCAACCCGACUCCACGAAGCUGGAUUCGAUAGUAAUCGCGCAUCAGCCACGGCGCGGCGAAGACGUUCCCGGGCCUUGUACACACCGCC
rnacentral:rRNA from 1 species